rnacentral:sRNA from 1 species
GCCAGGCAGAGGGGCAGGGGUUGCCGCCUCGAGCACAGGCCAAGUUUCAGAGCACUAGUGUGUAUCAGUUCUCCGGGAUUACAACGGAAUACCUUUGAGGAACACUGGGGACCGAAAGGCGACCUCGGAGAAUGUGGCCUCCAGGGGGAGCCCAGGAAGACUAUGACCGUCUGAGGCCUUUAUCUUACCCAAUGACCGAUGUCUUCCUUAUAUGCUUCUCGGUGGUAAAUCCAGCCUCAUUUCAAAAUGUGAAAGAGGAGUGGGUACCGGAACUUAAGGAAUACGCACCAAAUGUACCCUUUUUAUUAAUAGGAACUC